rnacentral:rRNA from 1 species
GUCUUCUUGCUAUGCAUAAGAAGUCUGACCUGCCCAGUGAAUAAUUUUUAACGGCCGCGGUAUUUUGACCGUGCAAAGGUAGCAUAAUCAUUAGUCUUUUAAUAGAAGGCUGGCAUGAAUGGUUUGACGAGGUGCUGACUGUCUCAUUUAAUUUUUUAUUAGAAUUUAACUUUUUAGUCAAAAGGCUAAAAUACAUUUGGAAGACGAGAAGACCCUAUAGAGCUUUAUAAUACGUAUAGUAUUCAUAUUUAGUUUAAUUUCUUUGACUACUCUAUUUAUUAUUUUGUUGGGGUGACAAAAAUAUAUAAUUAACUUUUUUAUUUAUUUUACAUUAAUUUAUGAAUUAUCGGAUCCAUUCUUAGUGAUUAUUAGAUUAAGUUACCUUAGGGAUAACAGCGUAAUCUUCUUUCAGAGUUCAAAUUUACAAGAAGGCUUGCGACCUCGAUGUUGGAUUAAGAUUAUAAUUAGGUGCAGCCGCUUAAUUUAUAGGUCUGUUCGACCUUUAAUUUCUU